AUUGAACGCUGGCGGCAUGCUUUACACAUGCAAGUCGGACGGCAGCACAGAGAAGCUUGCUUCUUGGGUGGCGAGUGGCGAACGGGUGAGUAAUGUAUCGGAACGUACCGAGUAAUGGGGGAUAACUAAUCGAAAGAUUAGCUAAUACCGCAUAUUCUCUGAGGAGGAAAGCAGGGGACCUUCGGGCCUUGCGUUAUUCGAGCGGCCGAUAUCUGAUUAGCUAGUUGGUGGGGUAAAGGCCUACCAAGGCGACGAUCAGUAGCGGGUCUGAGAGGAUGAUCCGCCACACUGGGACUGAGACACGGCCCAGACUCCUACGGGAGGCAGCAGUGGGGAAUUUUGGACAAUGGGCGCAAGCCUGAUCCAGCCAUGCCGCGUGUCUGAAGAAGGCCUUCGGGUUGUAAAGGACUUUUGUCAGGGAAGAAAAGGCUGUUGCUAAUACCGACAGCUGAUGACGGUACCUGAAGAAUAAGCACCGGCUAACUACGUG
rnacentral:rRNA from 1 species